CUUCAGCUAAGUUUCUCUCCCUUAGAAUCAGAUCCCGUUUGGUUUCAGGAGGCAGACACCAUAUUGACAUUUAAGAGUGUUCCUGGCUCUGGAGCUGUAGCAUCUGGAUCUGUGGUUGUGGGCUCCCUGGUGCCCCGAUGUUCCUGCUCGACACCCACUGCUACAAUUAACAGAUGACCGCUCACCCUGAGUGAAGGUAUUGCUUAGGUUUCUACCUGUAAAAAGGUCACCAAGUGCUUGCUCGUGGAGAAAAUUGCCACAAAGAGUUUGGUCCAAACCUGAUCUACAUGAAAAGUGCAAUGAGAUAACUUCUGUUGUGAAGUGUGCUAUAAAAAUAAAAUUAUAAAGUGCUACCAA